AUAUUUUAAAUUUAAUAUAAAUAUUAGGGUUUAUUUUUGAUUUUUAGUUAUUUGAUAGCUUAAAUAUU
rnacentral:tRNA from 1 species